CUGAGAUGUUGCCUGUUGUAAAUUAGUUUGUAGUGAGUAAUCCGUGGCUGCUGGGCAUGGUUACUAGUCAGUGUAAUCUGUGUUGCGUGUAUUUUCUGUCCGUUACUGGUUGAUAGGAUUGCUAGAUUUGUUAAGAUGGUGUUCAGAAGACGGUCGUGUGUUAACAGGAGUAUUUUGUAUUCUCGUACUUUUAAACAGUUUCAUUUUCAGUUGAUCCUCACUGAGACGCAGACUGCUCAGGUGCGGUUGUUCCUGCUACAUGGACUGCAUGACCUUGACUUCACUGUGUCUGAUGUCUUCAUCCUAAUUAAUCAGCUGUAGGAGCUACAAGAUGGAUGUUGAAUGCAGUUUUGUUGAUACAGAUGCAUUUAUUAGUGAACUAAAGAAGUGCCCAUGCAUCUGGAACUACAAGAGUGAGCCAUACAGUAAUCGAAUUGAAUGGAACAGUGCAUGGGCAGCAGUUUGUUAAAAGUUUUGAGUGAAUUUCACUGUAAAGAGCAACAAGGAGAAAAAUGAAAAGCAGUAACGUUCCAGAAGAGGCGGAAAUCCUUGCGAGAUGGUUUCAACAGAUAUUUAAAUAAAAUAAAAAACAGAAAAGCAAAUCGACAGCAUCUCACAUCAGGCAGUACAUCUGUUUUCAUCAGGUUUCAUUUUUAACACCUUCAGCUAAAGAAAAGGCUGAUACUGUUAGGAGUUUGGAUAAAGAAUUGCUUGAAGUUUUCGAGGAAAGUCAGGAGGCAUCAUCAAUGAAUGAAGAGCAUGCAAAGCAUAAAUGCAAGUUAACUAUAUCAGCAGAGGAUGCUCUAAUAGAAAAAUUAUUGAAACAUGUGAAUAAAAACUUAACCUACUCACAAAUUGUGAAAGAUAACACCAAGCAGAAUGUUGAUAAAUUAUUUCUUAUGUCACUGAAUGGUGAUUUCAAGAAAAUUUCAGAUGAAUACCAAUUCGAUGCCAAAUCUGAAAUAAUUGGCAUAAUAAAAAAAUACAAGAUUUUGUCUACACAUUGCCAGCAAUAUUACAUGCAACCUCAACAAAAUUACACAGGCUACAAUAUUGUGAGGUUUAGCUGAGGCUAUCAUGAAACACCUCCUAAAUCAAGGCAUAUUGAAAAUUUUCAAGGUUUUUCUAACGUUUGUUGUUAUAUCACCUCCUGCGACCGAAAACCACAUGUCUCUGAGAUCCCCCACAUCAGCUACUAACAGCACUUCACAGAAUACUAUUUUUAGUAGCA